rnacentral:sRNA from 1 species
GAAUAUACAAAAGGUGUAAAAAAAUUUGCCACACUUUUACUUGUUCAAGCCAUUAGUUCAGUAGAAUAUCGCACAUAACACUUGGAUGAGGAGCUGAGAUCAGGUGACAGAGGAAGUGGAGUGCAAAGAUUAAGGUGGUGUCAGAGGAAAAGGGUCCACAGAUCUUCAAUAAAGGGUUCUGACUGAUUCUACCCCUACUUCUCACCCCAUCACUCUAAGAGCAAGUUUAAUAGUAUAACUAACUAUUGGCUCCAAAUCAUAUAUAGUCAAUUUAAUAGCUAAUUCAUACAAUAGUUAACUAUAAACAUGUACUAUAUAAUUAAUGUCUGGUCCCACCUAUCAUACACACAAAUCUGUAGCCCGCUGCUCUUAUCUCUCCUCUUUUAACUCCUUAAAAUAUGUUUAUAGCUGGCUUAUAGUCUGCUAUUGUACCUGCUCUAAUCCUCUGCCCUAGCCCUCGGUUGAUUUCCCUAUCCUUAUCCCCUCUAUCCUAUCCCUACAUCCAAACACCUUCCACAUAAGGUGGAGGUGGAGCACCCCCAUCUCAAACACAGACAGAAAAGGAUAGCAAAAGGAAGUAUUGCAGGUUUGCUUGAUUAAUACUUGAAAUUAAGCAUGAUGAAAUCUCUUCAAAGGUCACUAUUGGAGUUCCCAGAACUAUAUGGCCUUGGUCAUCUGACUACAAUAGCUUUGGUUGGCUGCAUAACACCAAUAGGACUGUAAUAUAAGAUUAUAAGAAAAUUAGGUAAUUGUACAGCAGGUUGCUUGGGAGUGUGGUGAGGAAAACUGAUGCAGUUUCUCUCUUGGAUGCUAGUAACUGGUAAUGUUUAGGCCAGUAAUUUGUUUCUCUUUUCAUUUUCUGCACCAAGACAGCUAUGAGUUGUAUUAAGACUCUGCUCCUCCUCCUUCCGAAUGAUAUGAAUAUGAUAAGAUACGUGGCUCUUGGGAAUGUAACAUAAGGAAACUUCAUUAAAAUCACUGCCUAUAUAAUUGCUUAAAUUACCGGAUAACUGAGCAAUAGAUAAUCCUUGUUUCAAGAUGAUCUAUAAGAUUGAGCAUCUCAAACC